rnacentral:rRNA from 1 species
GAUGAACGCUGGCGGCGUGCCUAAUACAUGCAAGUCGAGCGAACAGACGAGGAGCUUGCUCCUCUGACGUUAGCGGCGGACGGGUGAGUAACACGUGGAUAACCUACCUAUAAGACUGGGAUAACUUCGGGAAACCGGAGCUAAUACCGGAUAAUAUAUUGAACCGCAUGGUUCAAUAGUGAAAGACGGUUUUGCUGUCACUUAUAGAUGGAUCCGCGCCGCACUAGCUAGUUGGUAAGGUAACGGCUUACCAAGGCGACGAUGCGUAGCCGACCUGAGAGGGUGAUCGGCCACACUGGAACUGCGACACGGUCCAGAAUCCUACGGGAGGCAGCAGUAGGGAAUAUUCCGCAAUGGGCGAAAGCCUGACGGAGCAACGCCGCGUGAGUGAUGAAGGUCUUCGGAUCGUAAAACUCUGUUAUUAGGGAAGAACAAAUGUGUAAGUAACUAUGCACGUCUUGACGGUACCUAAUCAGAAAGCCACGGCUAACUACGUG